rnacentral:rRNA from 1 species
GACGUAGGAUGCAAGCGUUGUCCGGAUUUAUUGGGCGUAAAGAGUUCGUAGGCGGUUCGUUAAGUCUGAUGUUAAAGACUGGGGCUCAACCCUGGGAGUGCAUUGGAUACUGGCGGACUGGAGUGCAGUAGAGGCAAGCGGAAUUCCAGGUGUAGCGGUGAAAUGCGUAGAUAUCUGGAAGAACACCGGUGGCGCAAGCGGCUUGCUGGGCUGUAACUGACGCUGAUGUGCGAAAGCUAGGGGAGCGGACGGG